rnacentral:rRNA from 1 species
GAGUUUGAUCUUGGCUCAGCAUGAACGCUGGCGGCGUGCCUAAUACAUGCAAGUCGAGCGAACGGACGAGAAGCUUGCUUCUCUGAUGUUAGCGGCGGACGGGUGAGUAACACGUGGAUAACCUACCUAUAAGACUGGGAUAACUUCGGGAAACCGGAGCUAAUACCGGAUAAUAUUUUGAACCGCAUGGUUCAAAAGUGAAAGACGGUCUUGCUGUCACUUAUAGAUGGAUCCGCGCUGCAUUAGCUAGUUGGUAAGGUAACGGCUUACCAAGGCAACGAUGCAUAGCCGACCUGAGAGGGUGAUCGGCCACACUGGAACUGAGACACGGUCCAGACUCCUACGGGAGGCAGCAGUAGGGAAUCUUCCGCAAUGGGCGAAAGCCUGACGGAGCAACGCCGCGUGAGUGAUGAAGGUCUUCGGAUCGUAAAACGUCUGUUUAUUAGGGAAGAACAUAUGUGUAAGUAACUGUGCAC